UUAAUUGACAUGCGAUGAUGCCAACCCUAGCAAAAGUGAUAACAAAUUCGAUUAAUAACAAGUGUUGUCCAUGACCUUGACAGGAAAAGGAAAUACUUGGAUGUUUAUGAACCAGCGGUGGAUAACAAAUGAAAAAGUUGAUGUGGUUAAAGCCAGAGAAGAGAGGCAUGCAUGCAAGGUAGAGUGUUUCUUGUACAUGUAUAUGUCUUAGAGAAUGAUUCAAAAUAAAGGGUAGCACGAACUAAAAAUGUUGUUAUAUUAUGUUAAACUGGAUCUUAGGAGAAGUUUUCGUCAACUCGAUGACAAAUUUGUAACGCUCCUGGAGUUUUCUCCGGAAAAAUGAAUAAAACGAUAAAAGCAUUUUAAUAAUAUAGGUAGAGUACACAUUGCAUCCAAUAAGGUAGUAUAAAACCCCUGUGUAUGUGUUUGUGUAUAAAAAGUCUGGGCUUUGGUUUAGAAAACCUGGUUAGCUGAAGCACAAGUUGGUGUCGAAUGAAAAUUCUUAGAUAUUUUACCUUAAAGGGACGCACUACAAGAAAACAUGAAUUUACCGACUGCAUGUUGCGACUGAUCGUGCAGUUGCAAAAUAUUGCGACCGGAUUGCGACUGUUUUGAGACUGAUGUGUGACAAAAAUACGUUAGUCGUAAAUCAGUCGCUAAUGUGCGACUAAACAAAUCAGUCGCAAAUCAGUCGUUAAUUAGCGACUGUUUCGCGACCAUUUAAUGUUGUCGGCAACUGUCGUCACAAAACUAUCGUAAAAUAAGGACUGAUUUGCGACUACAUACUCCAUAUAGGGUAUAUAAUACGUAGUCGCAAAACAGUCGUUAAUUUUGCGACUGUUUUACGACUAUAGAUGUCGAUCACAGUAGGUAGUCGUAAAACAGUCGCAAAAGUAGCGACUGUUUUGCGACUCCAUACCUAUACCCUAAACUCUUAUCUUAACAUCUAUACCCUAAACCCCAAAUUUAAACAUGCAUAUAACAUUAUAAAAUCUAAUCUUUUCAAUCUUAUCAUUUAAAUUAAAUUUAAACUUUAAAUACUUUUUAAAUGAUAUAAUCAAAAUAUAAACCUCGUAUAUGCUAUAUACAUUAAAUUUAAAAUUAAACUCCAAAUACUAUAAAUUAAUCUUAGGCUUAUUUUUUUUUUUUUGAUAAUUUACCUUAUACCCAAAUCUAAACCCAAACAACUCUAUCUUAAAAUUUGAACACCAAAUCUUAAACAUAUAUUUUACAAAUGUUAAAUUUGAUAUCUAAUACUUUAAAUUUAGAAAAUUUCUAAACAAACUGUAUAUAAAUGGAGAAGAAAAUUUUAUUAGUUUCAACUAUACUAUUCCAAACUUUAAAUUUAACCCUCAAACCCUGUAUCAUAACUUUUAAUCAAAACUCCAAACAUAAAAUCACAAACUUAAAAAAAAUAACCGGUUAAUUAUUGGGUGGCGUGACAAUCACUUUUCAGUCACCAAUUAACGACUGAAUACAUCAGUCGCAAAAUCAAUCGAAAAACAGUCGGAAAAUGUUAUCCUAAACCUAAAUCUGAUACCCUAAACCCUAAACAUGCUUGAUAACCUAUAUUUUGAAUAUAAACUUUUAAACUCAAAACUUUUUACACUAUAACUUUAAAUGAACCUCAAACUUAAACUCAAAUCUAAACUUUUUAAUUUUAAUCUAUAACUUUUAAGAUACAAACUUCAAACCCAAAAUCAUAAACCAUAUUUCCACAACUCAAAACAUUGAACCCUAAACAUUUUGAAAAAUCCUAAAAUCUAUACAUAAAGUUUAAAACUCUAAUCUUUUUAUAUUAUAACCCCGAAUCUUCAAACUAAAACCAAAAUUUUAUAUUUUUAAUCUUAUUCUAUAACUUUCAAACCUUAAAUCCUCAUUCAAACUCAUUGGUAAUCCUAAGACUUCAGAGAUAUAAUAUUAUAUAAAAUUAUAAAUCCAAUCUUUACUUUAAAAUAUAAUAUUAUAUAAAAUUAUAAAUCCAAUUUUAACUCUAAACCCUAAUUUCAUAUUACAAACUCUAUAAAAUUUGUAGUUUAAAUUAAAAAUUUAUAAACUUCUCAAAUCUUAAACCUAACCGUCAAACCCUAUAUAUUUUAUCUUUAAUCUAAAUUCUAAACACUAAAUCACAAAAUUCAUAACUUUUCAACUAAAAUAAUUAUUAUAUACACGCAAAAAAUUUAAGUUAACUAAGAUCUAACCCAAUAAAAACCUAUUUUCUAUUCAAAACCAUUUACAUAUGACUUUAAAUAAAAUAAUCUUUAAACACUACUUACAAGAUCUAGCUAAUAACUUUAUUAACCUUAUAUCAUUCAUUGAAAAUGUAUAUAACUAAGUUAACUGUUUUAUAAAAUUAAACUAGAAGAAUAAAAACCAAAGUAUUUAAAUUAUACAAAUCACAAAUCACAAUUUUACAGCUAAAAACAAAUAUUAAAUGAAAAAAGGAAAAAGGAAAAUUUAUCAUUGGCUAAUCCUUGAAAACAAGGAUAACAACUUCUAACCAUUGAUUGAUGUUAAUCCAAUGGCCCAAACUAUUCUUUUUUCGGUUCUUCUCCUCUCUUGUCAUUGGCUGAUUUUCUAACACAAAGAUUGAUAUUCCUAGCCAUUGAUUGAUGUUAAUCUAAUGGCUAGAAAUCAUUCAUUGAAAACAUUCAUUUGUUUUCUCCUCUCUUCCUUCUACGACAGAUCUAUCAUCUCCAUCUUCUCUUUUGUUUCCAAAUCUUCUUCUUCUUCACUCUCCUCUGUCCAAUUCUCUCAUCCCACUGCCUCCCUCCAGACGAAAAUGGGUGCUUUCAAGGUUGUUAAAAUAGCUAUCCCAACAGAGAGGGAUGUGCAGCCCAAAAAUCACCGGAUAAUGCUCUGGGCUACGAAAAAAGUUUCACCGGAUUAGAAGAGAUGGUGCCUCCACAGACUCUUGAGUAGUUCGAGAAGAUACUGAGAGAAGACAGAGCCGGAAAUGGAUUUCCACCUCUGCAAAGGAGGGAGGGGAAGAAGACGCAACGACGGUGAGAUGGCAGAAGAAGAUUGGAGGAGAGGAAGAUCUGGUGGAGAUGACAACAGCGAGCACGUCCGAGAUGAGGAGGAAGACGCGACGGCGGCUGAGGAAGAAGACGCGACGGUGGCUGAGGAAGAAGACGCGGCGGAGCAGCGGCAGUGACAAGGCGGAAGACAGAUGAGCUAUGAGUUUUUGUGUUAAACGGUUAACCACUAACCAUUCCCGGUUUGGGACAAAAAAUAAUAAUAAUAAUAACAUUUUUAAUAAGUUAAUAAUAAUAUUAUUUUAAUU